AAAAAAAAAAGAGGUAAGAGCUUAAAAGGGCAGUGUUAAAAAUUAACAGGAUAGGUAGGCACUUCUGCUACUGCCCAGCGUGGGCCCUGGCCUAGGCUAUGGCUCAAUCCGGGAAGGCCCAAGGACUUAGAAAAAGAGAGGUAAGAGCUUAUUACAGGUGCAGUGCCCUGGGCCCAUGAACAGCACAGAUAGCUUAGGAGAAGACUGAUACUAUAUAAGAACAUGCUGGAAAGCCUCUCGGCAAACACAGUGGCAGACAUCUGCCCUUUGGAUGAUGCCUCUUGACUGUGAAGGCUGGUUCGCGGCCAUCCUCCCCAAUGUAUGAGCUGCUGGGGCAUGAGGCUACUCCAGGUUCAGUGCACAGA